GGGCGACGUGGUGGACCUCGACCGCAACGCCGCCCUGGGUGAAGGCGUAGCUGUCCGUGAAGGUCACAUCGGCUUGGGCGGGUUCGGUGCCAUUCAGCCCCGCCUCGCCCACCA
rnacentral:tRNA from 1 species